GCGCUCGUAGCUCAGUUGGAUAGAGCAACGGACUUCUAAUCCGUAGGCCGCGGGUUCGAAUCCUGCCGGGCGCGCCA
rnacentral:tRNA from 2 species